AGCCGAAGGAUCGGCCAGCCGUCUGGACA
rnacentral:sRNA from 1 species